rnacentral:lncRNA from 1 species
ACAAUUUGGUGAAAACAGUUUGCUAAAAUCUUUUACGGUUUUAGAGAUAUAGCGAUAACAAGAAAAGGAGGAGCAGGGAGAUAACUCCUAUAAGAAUAAGUGGUCGGUCACACAGGGUGAGUUUUGAAACCCCCAUUACUGUACAACAUCAUUGGCCAAAAAUCCAUUCGAUAUGUUGUAAAACAAAAAAGCAUCUCAGACGGCAGAAGAAAAAAAAAAAAAAAAUAAAUAAAUAAUCAGAAGAAAAACAAAAGGUCUUUCCACGAAAAGUGGAAAGACCUAAUGAAAC